rnacentral:ncRNA from 1 species
GUGUUGACUACAGAACAUGAGUGAAAAGGGAAUCAGGUGUGAAUCCUGAGCGAACCGGUCACUGUAUUUGGGGAGCAAUGCCAGAGAAAUCCAUUGUACGAAAGUAUGAGAAGGAGAGGCAAAGCGUUGAACCAUGAGUCAGGAAACCUGCUUAAUA